rnacentral:rRNA from 1 species
UACGUAGGUGGCAAGCGUUGUCCGGAAUUAUUGGGCGUAAAGGGCGUGUAGGUGGAUUCUUAAGUCGUGUGUCUAAGUGCGGUGCUCAACACCGUAUGGGCGCAGGAAACUGGGAAUCUUGAGUGCAGGAGAGGAAAGUGGAAUUCCCAGUGUAGCGGUGAAAUGCGUAGAUAUUGGGAGGAACACCAGUGGCGAAGGCGACUUUCUGGACUGUGUCUGACACUGAGGCGCGAAAGCCAGGGGAGCGAACGGG